GUCCCUGUAGCGCAUUGGAUAGCGCAUUGGGCUGAUAAUUCUAAGGUCGUGGGCUCGAAUCCCACCUGGGAUA